rnacentral:tRNA from 1 species
CGCAGUAUAGCUUAACUCAAAGCACCCCGCUUACACCGGGAAGACAUUUGUGAAACCCAAAUUACUUCGA